rnacentral:rRNA from 1 species
UACGGGGGGGGCAAGCGUUGUUCGGAAUUACUGGGCGUAAAGGGCUCGUAGGCGGCCAACUAAGUCCGACGUGAAAUCCCCAGGCUUAACCUGGGAACUGCGUCGGAUACUGGAUGGCUUGAAUUCGGGAGAGGGAUGCAGAAUUCCAGGUGUAGCGGUGAAAUGCGUAGAUAUCUGGAGGAAUACCGGUGGCGAAGGCGGCAUCCUGGACCGACAUUGACGCUGAUGAGCGAAAGCAUGGGGAGCGAACAGG